AAAGAAAAAAGAGGGGAUUAGAUCUGUUUUUUUUCUUUUUUUUUUUUUUUUUUACUUUUAUUUUUUUUUUUUUUUUUUCACAAAAUGUUUGUUCUUUAUUAUCUCAGAAAGUAAGGAAAAUCAAGAGGGAAAAAGGGGGUUAGAAAGGUCCUUGUCACUCUCUUUUUUCUUU
rnacentral:ribozyme from 1 species